AGUCUUGGAGUCUUGAAAGUCCCAGAUCACAGGCCCCACAUCUGGUGAGGACAUUUGUGCUGUGUCAUCCCAUGGCAGAAGGCAGGGGGCACGAGCGCAGGGGUAAGAGGAUGAGAGACAAGAGAGGGCUGAAAUGACUUUUGCAAUAAACCCACUCUCACGAUAAUGGACCCGUUUUCGCAAUAAUAAGACCCCCAAGAGCAAGGCUGGUGAAGCCACCGAAGUGGCUAUUGAUGCAGGCUUCCGUCACAUUGAUGCGGCGUUCUUCUACCAAAACGAGGAGGAGGUCGGAAAGGCCAUUCGAGAGAAGAUUGCUGAUGGCCCUGUGAAGAGAGAGGACAUUUUCUACACCACUGAGCUUUGGACAACUUUCUUUAGACCAGAAUUAGUUCGCCCAGCCCUGGAAGGGUCACUGAAGAAACUUCAACUGGACUAUGUCGAUCUCUUCAUUAUCCACAAUCCAUUGGCUAUGAAGCCUGGGGAGGAAUUGCUGCCUAAGGAUGCCAGUGGAAACAUUAUUUUUGAUACUGUGGAUCUUCGUGACACAUGGGAGGCCCUGGAGAAGUGCAAAGAAGCAGGUUUAACCAAGUCCAUCGGGGUGUCCAAUUUCAAUCACAAACUGCUGGAACUCAUCCUCAACAAGCCAGGGCUCAAGUACAAGCCCACCUGCAACCAGGUGGAAUGUCACCCUUACCUCAACUAGAGCAAACUCCUGGAGUUCUGCAAGUCCAAGGACAUUGUUCUAGUUGCCUACAGGGCCCUGGCAUCUCACAGAGACCCAAACUGGGAUGGACCCAGAUAGCCCAUAUCUCUUAGAGGAGCCAACCUUGAAAUCCAUUGCCAAGAAAUACAAUAGAAGCCCAGGCCAGGUUGCCCUGUGCUAUGAGCUGCAGCGGGGGGGUGGUGGUCCUGGCCAAGAGCUUCUCUGAGAAGAGAAUCAAAGAGAACUUCCAGGUUUUUGACUUUGAGUUGACUCCAGAGGACAUGAAAGCCACUGAUGGCCUCAACAGAAAUUUCCGAUAUGCUAAGUUACAAUUGUAAGUCAUGCUUGCAGAUUCUUUCACAGGCUGUUUUCUGUAAUAUGCAGGCAAACAGAGGAAUACAUCUUCCCUAAAUCAGGAAGGCAGGCCAGAUUUCAGGAAUAGGUAUGAAACAGGAGCUUCCCUAUAGUCCUCAUGUGGCUCAAUCUGUGACCCAACAGGAAUGUGAGUCAGUAAGUGAAACUGUUGACAUCUGCACCAUUGUGAAUGCACUUCUUCAAUUUUUUUUUUUUUUUUUCUGAGACAAAGUCUUGCUCUAUUGCCUAGGCUGGAGUGCAGUGACACGAUCUCGGCUCACCGCAACCUCUGCCUCCCGGGUUCAAGCAAUUCUCCUGCCUCAGCCUCCUGAGCAGCUGGGAUUAUAGGCGUUUGCCACCACGCCCAGCUAAUUUUUGUAUUUUUAGUAGAGACAGGGUUUCACCAUGUUGGCCAGUCUGGUCUCGAACUCCUGACCUCGUGAUCUGCCCACCUCGGCCUCCCAAAGUGCUGGAAUUACAGGCAUGAGCCACUGUGCCCCGCCAUGAAUGCACUUCUUUAGUGCCCUUACUACCUGUGCCCGGUCCUGCACGCAGGGCCACUGCCUAUUAGAAUAGAAGGCACGGUGUCUAUGACCCAUCAUACUUAUAGGAGCCCAUGAUAAUGUUCUAGCUUUAAUUUAUUUUAAAGUCAGAAGAAAAAGAGAAUACAACAAUGAUGAAUAUGUAAUAAUGAAUCCAGCCUCGUCUAUCUUCAUGUCUAUACCAAGGCAAUGUAAGACUUAAUUUUAAUAUUUGUAUAGAGCAUUGGUCCAUGAAAGCAAAUGUGCAUAUGUCCUAGGGAAGUCACAGUGGGCCCUGCUUCCAUGGCCUCCCCUAAGUGUCCAGUGACAUUUCUCCUUACUGUGGCAUUCCUUUUCCGAGACACCAACUAUUUCUUCCAAAUUUUUGUCUUCCUUGGCUUUCUUUACCUUCACAACUCCCAUUUCCUCAGCUAUAUAAUCUCACUAAGCUGAAUGACAAAUGAAUUAUGAAAUUAAUAGACCCUCAGUGCUAGUGACUGAGGUGUCCCCAGUGGCCUCCACCAAGUUAAGAUCCUCUGGAAUUUCUCCGGAUCUUCGAGGCAAGACUCUUACUCCAGUGUCAUCUUCGUCCAUCUGAAGCCCACCUCUAAGGAACCCAACAUAACUUCACUUUAGUUUAUUCACAAACAUGACGUUCCAUUGGAUCAACUGUGGCAGGAUCUCAGGGUUGAGGAGAAAGAUGACUAAUCAAACAGAGCCAAGUUUGGAGGGGAGUUUAGAAACAGGGCGAAAUAUCAUUUUAGUUAGGAAAAUACUCAGUCUCCAAAACACAUCUGAAAGGUCCCCCUUCUUUUUGUAAAACCAUACCAGGCUUCCAAGAAAAGACAUUUUCAAUGAGAAAAAUGUGAAAGCAACCUUUCUAUACUCACAGGCCUUAAGUAUAAUCUGUGAUCUGCCUCAUGAGACUGUGAAUGUCUCCUCUUACUCAUCUCUGUGGCCCUAUGUUAAUACAGCUCCUGGUGCAUUUAACUGCUUAGAAAGUACUCUUUAAUGACACUCAAUUAAAAAGAACGAAUUAUAAAAAAGAAAGCCCUUUUUGCCAUUAAGGUAACAUAUUUUCAGGUUCCAGAGAUAAGGGCAUGUAUGUCUUUGGGGGCCAUUACUGAGCCUACUACACUAGUUUUGUAAGUAAAUUUAGAGCAACUAAACUUUAGUUUUCUAAUUUUUGUAAUAGAAAGAAUUCUAUGUCCAGCCACUGGAUCCUGAAACUCUAGACUUUUAUCUCAGAUAUCAAGAGGAAAACCACAUGAAUAAAUACCUGUUUCUUUAAAGCUGAUGUAAUCUUGACCCUAUUGUAUUUCCUCCUUCUGGAUACAUGCCCUUCAUUAUUUUAUUCUAAAAUUUAUUCUCAGGAUCUGUUGACAUUGUCUUUUGUUGUUCAUAUGGAAAACUCAAGCUUUUCAGUUUGCCAACAUUCUCAACUCUUCAGAAUUUCUACUGAUGUCUAGAUUAUACUUCAGGCAAUGGAUCCCAUGUUUACUACUUAAACGUGCUUCAUCUAUGAAACCUUCAGUUGGACACAUCUUAUAUUAAUGAAGUCUCUUAACUCUGCAGUUUCUACUAUACCUUGAUUUAUCAAGUUCUUGAUUCAUCAAGAGUUGUCAUUAGGUCUCUCUUCUUUCCUCUUUGCAUUCUUUCAAUACCCAUAGAAGUUUACGUAUGAAAAUUAGGCUAAAUAAUAUACUAAAUUGAAAUUGAUCAGACUCCACUUAUUCUACACAAGUAAGUUUGGAAACAUCUAAUUUAAAGAAAAGCACUUUCUCACUAUGGUUUCAGCAGUCAAGAUGAUUGCCUUUCCAACAUCAGUUUUACUUUAAAUAAUUUGUUUAGGUCAGCCAUGCUAAUUUCAUUGUGGUUGGCAUAGGAGUCACUGUGGAUAAAGAGUUGUGACCCAGCCUUAGCCAACGCCACAUAAGAAGCACUGUGCUGGGUACUUCUAGGAGAGUUUCUCUCACUUCUAAGAAGGAGCCUUUGAAGAGAGGUUGCUUCUCUUCUUCAAGGGGAUAUUGUCCCAUUGCAAGGUGAGGUGUGAAAUUGCUGUGGAGUCUCCACCCAGCCUGAGGACGACAUCAAUACACAGAAGAAGAAAAAGGAGAAGAUGAGAGAAAUUCUGCACUCUCAUGGAUGACACCCAGAGUUUACCCUCCCUCUGGACUUCUUGUUAUGGGACUAACACAUUUUUGUGGAUUUUAAACCAAUUUGAAUUACUUUUUUUGCACCUGCCUGUACUCUAAUCCAAACAACCAUCCAAGUUAAUAAUUUUCUCUUUACAAUGCACCCUGCAUUUUGUACCUAUACAAGAGUGGUCAGAAUGUGUGAAAACUGCUGAGUCAUCCUGACAGCAUGGCUCCAGUAGAUUCUAGGGGUCGGCUAUAGUAUUGAGUGAUAUUAAAAUAACAAAUAAUGCACAAAAGGCAUGGAUCUAAAAAAGUCUUUAGGAAUCUUCACUCACUGAGAGCUCAUAUUCAGGACACAGUUUCUUCUUCAAAUCACCUUGGACAAGUAAGUAACCCUUUUUGUUCCCUUUUCUGUAAAAUAAGUUACAAGUUAAAUCUACUUUGUAGGGUAUUUGAGAGGAUUCCCUGAUAGUCUUGCCUGAUACAGAAUAGAAACUCAAAAUCUUAGCUAGUAGCGUUGGUGUCAUUGCUAUUAUCAGCACUAUAAUUUCCCUUGAGUUAGCCAGAAGAAAUACUAAGUUUAUUGGACAGUGAGUACAGGGUUGCCUUGCUCAGAUGUACUGAGCCUACUGUCAACUUUAAGCCGCUCUCUGUGAGGUUAGAGUUUAUCUUGGUCUGGGAGGACCAAGCAGAGUGCUUUAGAGAUGACAAGCACAGCUGUGUUAAGAGACAACUUCCAAAGUUUGUGACCACAUAGGAUAAGUUACUCUAACUUUCAGUGCAGUUGAGCAAGAGUCCUUGAUUGGUUUCUGUUGUGAAUGCCAAUAUUUUUGUGUCAUUUUGUGGGAUCUUCCAGACACUGUCUGAGAGAAAAUCUCCAUAGCCUGGAGAGGAAGAAAAAUGUCUGGAUGGUGGGGUUUUGUCUCCUAGCACAGUUACCACCCAAUGACCAUCCUUCUUUACUUUUACAGGCCAUUAUGUUAAGCCUUUUUCAUUUGUUGCUCUCCCAUAUCCCUAUUUAGACUUUGAUAUCUGAAGGUGGAAACCAUCCCUUUUCCCUCUGGAGCUGGAGUGAUGUUCACGGAAGGCAAAGCAGCUGGGCCUGAAUGGGGCUAAGCUCUGGGAGCCAUGAGUGUCUCCACAGAAACAGAGCAGGACACCCGGAGGGACCACCCAAAACCUUGGGUCCGUUUGUGAGGCCAUCAGAUCCUCAGCUGGCAUUUGACAAGGAGGAUCAAGGUUGCAACAGCCUAAAGAAGUUUAAUUUCAAGAAAACAGGCUGAAAGAAUGAGAGUUGUGACCAACUCAGUAUACCACUGGAGGCUAUAUGAGCAAACAGAAAACUGUUCUUAUGAAAGCAGGAUGUUGGAAAACUGAUAACUGUGUCUGCCGCCAGAAGGGGUGCUGAGGGCAGUCAGGCCUCAUGCACAGUGUUCCUUGUGAUUAUCUAUAGGAACAUCUGAAGCCUGUUGUACAAAGAAAGCAAUUAUGUGGACCUGUGAUAAAUCAAGCAGUGGACCAACCAUUAGCUCUCCCUCCCUGCUCUUUCUACCUAACAAAUAUGAAAGACUGUAGAAACUCAGGGCUGCCUUUGCUCUCUAGAAGCAAGGAGCCCCUGACCCCCUCUUUCAAAAUAGGUCUUUUCGUCUUUGUCUUUACUUCUGCAUUCGACCCCCUUCAUUGACCCUGUAGAAACUGUCAGUGACAUUCUCUUUUCCCUUGUAUUUUCUAAAUUUUCUAUAAUUUGCAUGUUAUUUUAAUAAUUAGUGAGGGCAUCAAAGAAGUGGAUUUACAAUGGUGCAAACAUUGGCAGUUUCAGUUAGGAACUCAUAUUCCUGUUGGGUCAGAGAUUGAGCCCUGGAGGAAACCUCUGGUCUGAGGGCUACAGGGAAGCUCCUGUUUCAUGCCUAUUCCUGAAAUUAGGCCUGUCCCUCUGAUUUAGGGAAGAUUUAUUCCUCUGUUUGUCUGCAUACUACAGAAACAGCCUGUGAAAGAAUCUGCAGGCAUCACUUACAAUUGUAACUUAGCAUAUUGGAAAUUUCUGUUGAGGACAUCAAUGGCUUUCAUGUCCUCUGGAGUCUACUCAACAAUUUUUCUUCAAAGUCUAAAGGAGAUUUUUUCUUCCAGCAUAAUAUUCCGUGCAGUGCAGAAAGUCUUUUCUUUUGCCUUUUGGUAAAUGGCCUAAGAGAUUUUACAGUUUAUUGAGAGAAUUCCUAUGCCAUUAUCAUUAAGUUUUGGUUUGCUUAGAAUGUAAAAAAAACUGAGAUUAGAACAAAUUUUUAAAAAAGUAAGGUUAUUACAUCUGUAUAUCUUUCUGUAUGUGCUUUUAAAGUCCUUGUGACAUUGAGUUACAGGGCUUUGACUCCUGGAUCUAUAAAGGACACCAAGUCCUGCUACAUCUUAAACACUGACAACAAUUAAAGCCUCAUCUUCAGGCGCAGUAGAAGAUGCCAAUCAAAAUAAAUUGCAUUCCUGAGACAUAGGGCCAGAAAUAAAAGCUAUUCAACUCCUCAAGGCCCCAGGACUAUUGUGGAAGAGGUGGGUGUGUGAGAUUGAAAGGGCCAAUUUUGAGAGACAAAAUAAGUUCAAUUUCUCUGUAAAUUAAUCAUUAAUGUCAAAGGCACACUGAUGCAAGACAAGAAUAUGGCCCCCUGUGACAGAUUAACAAGGUUUUAGUGAAGCAUUAACUGACUCCUUAAUAAAGGUUAUAAAGGUUAUAAAAGGCUUAAGAAAGUUAUAUCCUAUUGUCAAGAUUAAAAGUUCAUAAAUUGUUAAUAAAAUUUUGAAAAACAGAUUUAAUUGGUAUCACACUGUUUUUAUUAGGGCUUAUAGUUUGGAAAAUUAAGUCUUCUCUCUCAAAGAAAAAAGGUUUUUGCCUUUUUUUGGAAUCCUUGUGUUAUCACUUUGGUUAAAUGAAUGACUUAUUUUACAAUGACCUGUAAUAUCAAGUGUUUUAAACCAUUGAUAUUUGACAAACUUUCCAAAUCAAAUUAUAAAUUAUUUCUUUUUCAGACCUAAUUAAUCCUUUAAGAUAUUAGGUUCCCUAAAAUCUAAAAAUGAAAUUUGGCUCACUUGGUGUAAAAAUUAUACAGGAAGUAUUGUCAAACAUGAAAUGGUGUUUGGUUAUCUUUGGGCUGUAUUUGUAUAAAUAUGUAAUUGGCAUGUGUUCCAAAAUUAUGGGAAACUCAUAUAACUCUGAUAUAACUUAGUAUACAUUAUCAGUAAUAAUCAUUGUCAUGUUAAAUUAUGGUGUGCCACAGAGGUAACAAAUUUCCCUGUCAAUUGUGUUUUUGACUAUGGCUGCUCUAAAACUUUUUGUCAUCCACAGACAAUUGUUUCUUGUUUUGCUCCUCUUUAGAAGGUGGUUUAUAGAACUAUAAUACUCUAACAGGUGCUCUUGAAUGCAGGUUUCUGAUAACUUUGAAGACUGUGACAUCAGAAUAGAGGAAAAACUUUGAAAACUCAUGGAGAGCUGAAAUGUUCAUGAAUAUCAAGCAGAGCAGGAAUUAGCUGCAUGAACUGAACUAAUAGAAGACUGAAGAAUCAAACUUGACUUAUGGAGACAAUAAAAGCCCCUUGGGAAAACUGGCCUCAUACUUUGUCUACGCAGUGCCUGUACAGGGUUCCUGAUCUGUGGUAAGUAAAAAAUGUAACUUUCUGACAGGUCCAGGAGCCCCAAGUUUAUCUUGGGAUCUCAAGAGGAGAGAAAUUCACCCACGCAUAGGUGUUUGAUGGUACAAAUCCAUGGCUGGGUUUCACUUCAAAAAAAUAUUAUCUGAGAUUCCUUCUGUGGAACAAAGUUCCAUCAAAGCCAAUUUAAAAGCCUAUGUAAAAAAAUAAUUAUUCUUGCUGUACUGUAUACAAAUAAUCAGGCCAAGUAUAAUAAAGCAAAUCAGUCCUACC
rnacentral:lncRNA from 1 species